rnacentral:rRNA from 1 species
UUGGGGAAUAUUGGACAAUGGGCGAAAGCCUGAUCCAGCAAUGCCGCGUGAGUGAUGAAGGCCUUAGGGUUGUAAAGCCCUUUCGGCGGGGAAGAUAAUGACGGUACCCGCAGAAGAAGCCCCGGCUAACUUCGUGCCAGCAGCCGCGGUAAUACGAAGGGGGCUAGCGUUGCUCGGAAUUACUGGGCGUAAAGCGCACGUAGGCGGUUUGCUAAGUCGGGGGUGAAAUCCUGGGGCUCAACUCCAGAACUGCCUUCGAUACUGGAGAGCUUGAGUCCGGGAGAGGUGAGUGGAACUGCGAGUGUAGAGGUGAAAUUCGUAGAGAUUCGCAAGAACACCAGUGGCGAAGGCGGCUAACUGGCCCGGUACUGACGCUGAGGUGCGAAAGCGUGGGGAGCAAACA